AGUGAACGCUGGCGGUAGGCCUAACACAUGCAAGUCGAACGGCAGCACAGUAAGAGCUUGCUCUUACGGGUGGCGAGUGGCGGACGGGUGAGGAAUACAUCGGAAUCUACUUUUUCGUGGGGGAUAACGUAGGGAAACUUACGCUAAUACCGCAUACGACCUACGGGUGAAAGCAGGGGAUCUUCGGACCUUGCGCGAUUGAAUGAGCCGAUGUCGGAUUAGCUAGUUGGCGGGGUAAAGGCCCACCAAGGCGACGAUCCGUAGCUGGUCUGAGAGGAUGAUCAGCCACACUGGAACUGAGACACGGUCCAGACUCCUACGGGAGGCAGCAGUGGGGAAUAUUGGACAAUGGGCGCAAGCCUGAUCCAGCCAUGCCGCGUGAGUGAAGAAGGCCUUCGGGUUGUAAAGCCCUGUUGUUGGGGAAGAAAAGCAGCAGGUGAAUACCCCGCUGUUCUGACGGUACCCAAAGAGUAAGCACCGGCUAACUUCGUG
rnacentral:rRNA from 1 species